CAGCCGCCGCGGGAAUACGUAGGUGGCAAGCGUUGUCCGGAAUUAUUGGGCGUAAAGCGCGCGCAGGCGGAUAGGUCAGUCUGUCUUAAAAGUUCGGGGCUUAACCCCGUGAUGGGAUGGAAACUGCCAAUCUAGAGUAUCGGAGAGGAAAGUGGAAUUCCUAGUGUAGCGGUGAAAUGCGUAGAUAUUAGGAAGAACACCAGUGGCGAAGGUGACUUUCUGGACGAAAACUGACGCUGAGGCGCGAAAGCCAGUGGAGCGAACGGGAUUAGAUACCCCCGUAGUCCCUGUCUCUUAUACA
rnacentral:rRNA from 1 species